rnacentral:rRNA from 1 species
UACAGAGGUGGCAAGCGUUGUUCGGAAUUACUGGGCGUAAAGGGCGCGUAGGCGGCCUUGUAAGUCCUGUGUGAAAUCCCCCGGCUCAACUGGGGAACUGCACAGGAGACUGCUUGGCUUGAGUUCGGGAGAGGGAAGCGGAAUUCCGGGUGUAGCGGUGAAAUGCGUAGAUAUCCGGAGGAACACCGGUGGCGAAGGCGGCUUCCUGGACCGACACUGACGCUGAGGAGCGAAAGCGUGGGGAGCAAACAGG